rnacentral:rRNA from 1 species
UAGCUAGUUGGUGAGGUAACGGCUUACCAAGGCGACGAUCUGUAGCGGGUCUGAGAGGAUGAUCCGCCACACUGGAACUGAGACACGGUCCAGACUCCUACGGGAGGCAGCAGUGGGGAAUUUUGGACAAUGGGGGCAACCCUGAUCCAGCCAUGCCGCGUGAGUGAAGAAGGCCUUCGGGUUGUAAAGCUCUUUCGGCCGGGAAGAAAUCGCAUGGGCCAAUACCCUGUGUGGAUGACGGUACCGGAAUAAGAAGCACCGGCUAACUACGUGCCAGCAGCCGCGGUAAUACGUAGGGUGCGAGCGUUAAUCGGAAUUACUGGGCGUAAAGCGUGCGCAGGCGGUUUUGUAAGACAGGCGUGAAAUCCCCGGGCUCAACCUGGGAACUGCGUUUGUGACUGCAAGGCUAGAGUACGGCAGAGGGGGGUGGAAUUCCACGUGUAGCAGUGAAAUGCGUAGAGAUGUGGAGGAACACCAAUGGCGAAGGCAGCCCCCUGGGUCGAUACUGACGCUCAUGCACGAAAGCGUGGGUAGCAAACAGGAUUAGAUACCCUGGUAGUCCACGCCCUAAACUAUGUCAACUAGGUGUUGGGUGGGUAAAACCAUUUAGUACCGUAGCUAACGCGUGAAGUUGACCGCCUGGGGAGUACGGCCGCAAGGUUAAAACUCAAAGGAAUUGACGGGGACCCGCACAAGCGGUGGAUGGUGUGGAUUAAUUCGAUGCAACGCGAAAAACCUUACCUACCCUUGACAUGCCAGGAACUUGCCAGAGAUGGCUUGGUGCCCGAAAGGGAGCCUGGACACAGGUGCUGCAUGGCUGUCGUCAGCUCGUGUCGUGAGAUGUUGGGUUAAGUCCCGCAACGAGCGCAACCCUUGUCGUUAAUUGCCAUCAUUUAGUUGGGCACUUUAGCGAGACUGCCGGUGACAAACCGGAGGAAGGUGGGGAUUACGUCAAGUCCUCAUGGCCCUUAUGGGUAGGGCUUCACACGUCAUACAAUGGUCGGUACAAAGGGUCGCCAAGCCGCGAGGUGGAGCCAAUCCCAGAAAGCCGAUCGUAGUCCGGAUUGCAGGCUGCAACUCGCCUGCAUGAAGUCGGAAUCGCUAGUAAUCGUGGAUCAGCGUGUCACGGUGAAUACGUUCCCGGGUCUUCUACACACCGCCCGUCACACCAUGGGAGCGGGUUCCGCCAGAAGUAGGUAGCCUAACCGCAAGGAGGGCGCUUACCACGGCGGGGUUCGUGACUGGGGUGAAGUCGUAACAAGGUAGCCGUAGGGGAACCUGCGGCUG